GCGCUGGCCCGUGAGCGCCGUGCCGCAGCCCCGGUUCCCGCCCGCGCCUCUCCCUCCACACUUCGCCGCAAGCAGAGGGAGCCGGCUCCGGCCUCAGCUGGCCCAGAGAGGGGCUCCCUCAGUGCAGUGGCGAGCUGAAGGGCUCCUCAAGGGCGGCUGGAGUGGACGCUGAGGCCGAGGAGACGCCAAGAGCAAACGAGGGCUGCUAGUACAUUGUCACCUCUCACUGGUAACUACAGUUGCUGUCAGUUUAACUGUUGAUAUUCUGGAAGCAAGAUCUUGGAAGGCCAAGGACAGGUCAUUUCUUAGGACUGUGCAAAAGAGAAUCAGUCUUUACAGUAAGCUAUUUGAUUCUAGUAGUUCUUUCAUCUCAGUCUUUUGAAAGCAACUUCCCCUCUUUAACCAACACCUGCCAUGGCCUCUUCAUGAGCCGAAGAAGGUGAGUGCUGAUGGAAAUCCCAGAUGUGGCCAAAACUCCCCAGCAGCAGACAGGUCAAAGGUCUUUUGUACCCUUUCCCGUAACGGGUGGCACUUGAUCUUCAGAGUGGCUUACACUGUUCAAGAGGGUUUGAAUCAUAAGACAUUUGGGGUUAAAAAAAAAAACCUGUCAUUUUGCAUUUUGAUUUUUGUAGAGCCAACUACAACGUAUUUGAAAAUUGUGUUCUUGAAAUAAGCCUGUAAUAGUAGGUGUCAAAAGUAUCAGAGAUAAAAUGUCUACUCUUUUAGUGGCGUAAGUUGUCGUUGUUUCAAAUUACAUUUCCUUGUACUAUAUGAUGGAUGUACUAUGCACACACACUUUAUCACACACGUGUGUGUGUGGGAGUGGAAAUGUGUAGGUAGUCAGAGAGGGAAGAAUAAAGAAUUCAUGCUAAUGUCUAAAUAAAUGAAUUAAUUAGUGAAAUAAAUAG
ensembl:lncRNA novel transcript